UUAUACAAAAAUAUAAUAUAUUUGAGUAAAUUUGUAUAGAAUACAAUGUGUUUGUAUCAUUAUAUGUGAUUAAAUAGCACAUAAUGGAAGAAAGUUCACCGAAUAUGAUAUUUUUCGGUCAACAAAAUAUUGUAUACAUUGUAUAAAACUAAUAAUAAAAAUGAAAAAAGACCUCGACCCUCAAACUUCUUCGGUGUAAAAAAUAUUAAUUACAAUAUUCGUGUAGAGGAAUCCAUUGCAAUUAAUAUUCGGUGUAGAGAAAGGCGCAGCCUCUUUCUUUCUACUAUUGUUAUACAAAUUCAUUGCAAAUAUCCAGCGUAGAAACUGAGCAGUACAAAUCCAUAAUUCCAUUACAAUAAUAUCCGACGUAUAAACUAAGAAAGUAUUCUGCUUGAACAUAGAGAACGAGAGUAAGAAGAGAGAGAGACAGAAGAAAUAUUUUUUUGGGAUUUUGAAAGAGAAUAAAUCGUGUGUUAAUUGAAAGAAAGAGAGAGAAUGAAGAGAGAGAAGGAAGAGAGAAAGAGAGAAAGAGGAAAAAAUAUGAAAGAGAAUCUUGUGUUAAUUGAAAGAAAGAGAGAGAAAAAUAUAAUUAGUAUAUUUCAUGUAUUAAUGAUAAUAUAUAUCAUAAAUAUAUAUAUCAUAAAUAUAUAUUUUGUCAUAAAAUAUAAAAGAUAACUAUAGAAAAUAAUAUUUUAAAAUAAUUUUAGUUUAUAAUAAAUAAGAUAUAUAUCUUUACUAUAGGAGAUAAAAAAAACUUAUUUUGUUCAUGUAAAAAAACUCCUCCCAUGAAAACUUUAUGCUUAUAAAUUGUCCAAACUCACAAUAAAAUAUUAGAUAAGAUUGCUUCAAGGAAGAGAGAGAGAGGGGGCGCAUGUUAGCAAGGCUAGCUAAUCUGCGCGUUCAGCCAUGGCUAGACACAGGAAGAAGACUCAAGUGACAAUGGAUGCAAAGGAUGAAGAUAGUAGAAUAGUAACACCUGCACUCAAUCAACCUACUCGCUGGUUAACAGGUACGGGAUCGGCAAGAUGCAAAGGAUGACGAUAGUAUAAUAGUAACACCUGCACUCAAUCAACCUACUCGCUGGUUAACAGGUAUGGGAUCAACACCUACAAUUUUUCAUAAACCAGCUAGGGAUGAUAGAAACAAUGGAACGAUAAUAACACCAGAGACAUGAAUUCAACAUAAAUUGCACUCGGUAACUUUUGGAAGCUUUUUACCACAAAAAUUUCAACCAAUUAGUGAGGGAAUUGAUGAAGGUGAGGAGCAAAAUCUGGUGAUGGACAAUGCAGAAUCACAACAAGUCCACCGGCGACUCCAAUUCUCAGCACAAGAUAAUCCAGGUCAGAUCUGGCAGGAUUUGGGAGGUUCAAAGGGAGUUGAAGGCAAAAGAGAAUCCAUGUAGAAGAAUCGAAGCUCUCAAAGGAGGAAACCACUAUGUUAUGUACCACCUGCUAUGCGGGAUGGUACAUUUGUAGUACAAAUUAAAGAGGAGGAUACAAAGUAACAAGAAGCAUACGGGAGCAAUGCACUGGUGGGUUUUGUGCUUGGAGAAGACCCGUAUGAGCGAACAAUGGAUAACUACAUUACAAACGUGUGGAAUUUUGUUGAAAAACCUCAAAUGAUGUAUCAUGAGGAAGGGUACUAUAUCUUCAGGUUUGAUAAUAGUGAUGAUAGGGAUCAAAACCCCUCAAAUGUUGUAUCAUGAGGAAGGGUACUAUAUUUUCAGGUUUGACCUUUAGGCAUGUCCUUACACUUUUCAUAACAAACCAUUUAUGCUGCAACAAUGGAGAAAGGAUUUCAGAUUUGAUCCAGGAAGUGUGAGUAUAAUUCCAUUGCGGAUUACUUUCCCAGGACUUCCAUUGGGUUUUGGUCAACUGAAGCUCUUAGUAAGCUAGCUAGCGUGGUUGGGAAUCCUAUGUAUACUAAUAGAAUUACUGCUGAAUUGGAAAAGGUAUCCUACGCGAGAUUACUGGUGGAAACAGAUAUAUCCAAUCCCCUUCCUGAUAGUUUUGAACUAUAAACAAAGAGGGGAGUUAUAACUCAACAGAUUGAAUAUGAAUGGAAGCCAAAGUAUUGUUGUGAAUGUGUAAGAUUUGGACGUAAUUCAGAAGAGUGUUGGAAUAAGGAGCUGCAAGAAAAAGAAGAGAUAGCAAAGCCUCAACCAAAGGAAGCAGGGGAAAAGAAACUACUGGUAGAGUGCUGGUAUAAGGAGUUGCAGGAAAAAGAAGAGAUAACAAAGCCUCAAUCAAAGGAAGCAGGGGAAAAGAAACUACUACAGAGAGGGACUUUGAAAUGGGUUCCAAAAGAUUAGAAGGAAUGAUAUAAGCCGUAUUGCAACUAAACGACCCCUUAUUAUAUGUUUACCGUCAAUUUUUAAAUUUACGCUAUUGGACGGACGGCUAUUUGGAUUAUUUCUUCUUUCAGAAUCAAAGGUCCAGGCCACUUUGUUGUAUGGCCCAGAGUAACAAAGAAAGGCAACUCGGUGUCAAUGGCCAAUGCUCGGUCCAUCCAGCCAAUCACUUAAAAUUUUAUAUAUAUAUAUAUGAAUUCAGCCG
rnacentral:lncRNA from 1 species